rnacentral:rRNA from 2 species
UACAGAGGGGGCAAGCGUUAUUCGGAAUUAUUGGGCGUAAAGGGCGCGUAGGCGGUUUGUUAAGUCAGAUGUGUAAUCCCCGAGCUCAACUUGGGAACUGCAUCUGAGACUGGCAGGCUAGAGUACUGGAGAGGGUGGUGGAAUUCCUCGUGUAGCGGUGAAAUGCGUAGAGAUGAGGAGGAACACCAGUGGCGAAGGCGGCCACCUGGACAGUAACUGACGCUGAGGCGCGAAAGUGUGGGUAGCAAACAGG